AAUGAACGCUGGCGGCAGGCCUAAUACAUGCAAGUCGAGCGAGCGGCGGACGGGUGAGUAAAGCCUGGGAAACCGCCUGAUGGAGGGGGAUCACUACUGGAAAAGGUAGCUCAUACCGCAUACCAUCAGAUGUGCUCAGAGGGGAUUAGCUGGUAGGUGGGGUAACGGCUGACCUAGGCGACGAUCCCUAGCUGGUCUGAGAGGAUGACCAGCCACACUGGGACUGAGACACGGUCCAGACUCCUACGGGAGGCAGCAGUGGGGAAUAUUGCACAAUGGGCGCAAGCCUGAUGCAGCCAUGCCGCGUGUGUGAAGAAGGCCUUCGGGUUGUAAAGCACUUUCAGCGGGGAGGCGUUACCCGCAGAAGAAGCACCGGCUAACUCCGUGCCAGGCGCCGCGGUAAUUC
rnacentral:rRNA from 1 species